rnacentral:rRNA from 1 species
GACGGAGGAUGCAAGCGUUAUCCGGAAUGAUUGGGCGUAAAGCGUCCGCAGGUGGCAGUUCAAGUCUGCUGUCAAAGACCGGGGCUUAACUUCGGAAAGGCAGUGGAAACUGAACAGCUAGAGUAUGGUAGGGGCAGAGGGAAUUCCUGGUGUAGCGGUGAAAUGCGUAGAGAUCAGGAAGAACAUCGGUGGCGAAGGCGGCGGGCUGGACCCCUCCUGACGCUGAGGCGCGAAAGCCAGGGGAGCGAACGGG